GACGAACGCUGGCGGCGAGCUUAACACAUGCAAGUCGAACGGAAAGGCCCUGCUUUUGUGGGGUGCUCGAGUGGCGAACGGGUGAGUAACACGUGAGUAACCUGCCCUUGACUUUGGGAUAACUUCAGGAAACUGGGGCUAAUACCGGAUAGGAGCUCCUGCUGCAUGGUGGGGGUUGGAAAGUUUCGGCGGUUGGGGAUGGACUCGCGGCUUAUCAGCUUGUUGGUGGGGUAGUGGCUUACCAAGGCUUUGACGGGUAGCCGGCCUGAGAGGGUGACCGGCCACAUUGGGACUGAGAUACGGCCAGACUCCUACGGGAGGCAGCAGUGGGGAAUAUUGCACAAUGGGCGGAAGCCUGAUGCAGCAACGCCGCGUGCGGGAUGACGGCCUUCGGGUUGUAAACCGCUUUCGCCUGUGACGAAGCGUGAGUGACGGUAAUGGGUAAAGAAGCACCGGCUAACUACGUG
rnacentral:rRNA from 1 species